rnacentral:rRNA from 1 species
CGGAGGGUGCAAGCGUUAUCCGGAUUCACUGGGUCUAAAGGGUGCGUAGGUGGGUUGGUAAGUCAGUGGUGAAAUCCCCGAGCUUAACUUGGGAACUGCCAUUGAUACUAUCAGUCUUGAAUACCGUGGAGGUCAGCGGAAUAUGUCAUGUAGCGGUGAAAUGCUUAGAUAUGACAUAGAACACCAAUUGCGAAGGCAGCUGGCUACACGAAUAUUGACACUGAGGCACGAAAGCGUGGGGAUCAAACAGGAUUAGAUACCCUGGUAGUCCACGCCCUAAACUAUGGAUACUCGACAUACGCGAUACACUGUGUGUGUCUGAGCGAAAGCACUAAGUAUCCCACCUGGGAAGUACGAUCGCAAGAUUG